GACAGAGGGGGGCAAGCGUUGCUCGGAAUCACUGGGCGUAAAGGGCGCGUAGGCGGGAUGGCAAGUCGGUCGUGAAAUCUCUCGGCUCAACCGAGAAACGUCGGCCGAUACUGCCGUUCUUGAGGGAUGCAGAGGAGACUGGAAUUCCCGGUGUAGCGGUGAAAUGUGUAGAGAUCGGGAGGAACACCGGUGGCGAAGGCGGGUCUCUGGGCAUUUCCUGACGCUGAGGCGCGAAAGCUAGGGGAGCAAACGGG
rnacentral:rRNA from 1 species